GAGUCAUUGUAGCAUACAAGGCAUACGGCUCAGUAACGCGUAGUCAAUCUAACCUAUGGACGGGAAUAACCUCGGGAAACUGAGAAUCAAUGCCCGAUAGAACAUUAUGCCUGGAAUGGUUUAUGUUCCAAAUGAUUUAUCGCCGUAGGAUGGGACUGCGGCCUAUCAGUUUGUUGGUGAGGUAAUGGCCCACCAAGACUAUUACAGGUACGGGCUCUGAGAGGAGUAGCCCGGAGAUGGGUACUGAGACACGGACCCAGGCCCUAUGGGGCGCAGCAGGCGAGAAAACUUUGCAAUGUGCGAAAGCACGACAAGGUUAAUCCGAGUGGUUUCUGCUAAAGAAACCUUUUGUCAGUCCUAGAAACACUGAUGAAUAAGGGGUGGGCAAGUUCUGGUGUCAGCCGCCGCGGUAAAACCAGCACCUCAAGUGGUCAGGAUGAUUAUUGGGCCUAAAGCAUCCGUAGCCGGCUCUGUAAGUUUUCGGUUAAAUCUGUACGCUCAACGUACAGGCUGCCGGGAAUACUGCAGAGCUAGGGAGUGGGAGAGGUAGACGGUACUCGGUAGGAAGGGGUAAAAUCCUUUGAUCUAUUGAUGACCACCUGUGGCGAAAGCGGUCUACCAGAACACGU
rnacentral:rRNA from 1 species